GCUGAGGUCCUUGAGGACAAUUGAACGAAUGACUGUUUGUCACAAGUCUUCAGGGCCCUGUAUCACUGCGGAACCAAAUGAACAUCACAGGAUAAGCUUCCGGACACAAGCACACUGAGGUGUGAGGUACUUCUGAGCCUGUCCUGUGAAGCCAGCUGCAGAGGAUUCAAAAUAAAUCACCUGGAAAGGAAAAAAGAAGUCAUAAGUGGGAAGUUCUGGGUCUGAUUCAAGAUUACUGUGAAACUUCAGGAUUCCUACUGAGAAAUUCCAAGUUUGAAAGAGCUACAAUUAUUUGCCUUCUCGUCAAUUAAUUUAAAAAUAUUUUUUGAUUUAAUGUUAAUUGGUGUAAUUUUAAGGAGGAUAUUAAAGUGAGCCUAAAUCA